rnacentral:lncRNA from 1 species
UUUUAAUGUUUGGUGACAUUUUUUAUGAUAUAGUAAUGGAAAAAUUCUCUAGAAACUAUAAAUGUACAUUUUUGUAUACAUGAACCAACUGAGAUUAUGGAGUUCUGAAUUAAUUUUUAUGAAACUGAUAUCCUUAGUUUAUGGUUAAACUUCAUAAAUAUACUUUAUUUUUGGAAAGAAGAACUAGGUCUGGGAGUAGAUCAAGAUCCACCUGUUGGGGAAAACCAGAAAUAGGAGGAAGAGGUUAUUAACGACUCAUUCUUAGCUGAGAAAAAUUCAGUAUGAAAUAAGUAAGUCCAGUUAGAGAAAGAAUUAUGAUUAUGUUAAGUGAGUUCACAGAUAUUGUUGAAAGCAAAUUGGCUAAAACUGAUUUGUUAAUAUAUAUGGGAGUAAUAAACCAAUUAAAUGAUCUCUUUGCUAAAUUAGUACGACAGUAGUAGAGGAUAUCUGGAGGGAAGUGAAAAAGCUGAUAAAGUUAGUGGUAAUUAGACCUUCAUUAAAUCCCAGCUCUAAAGAAUUACUAUAUACAUUAGUGACAGCUUAAUUCUAUAAAUAAAAGUUGAUAUGAAAAAUCAAUAUGAUGUUGGCAUUGCUGAAAUUAGGUAAGAAUUGAUUAAUGUAAAGAAUUGCAGGAAAUGGGCUUGAAUAAAGAAUACAGACUAUCAUUUGAAAUUUCAGAUAAAGUAUAAUAGUUCAUAUUUGCACAGGAUUUUAUGAUAUUCUGAGUGUUUUCAUAUACAUGAUCUCAUUUAAUUCUUCUACGAACUCUGGGGGACAAUAGUACACAUAUGGAGGCUCUGAAAUGCAAGUAGGGACUAAAUAACAGGAGAGAAACUCGGGUCCAGGGCUCCCUACCACAAUGCCUUUGUUCGCUGCUAGUUUCUUGUGGUUGCUCUAACAAUUUACUCCAAACAGAACAGCUUAAAGUUUCAGAAAUUUAUUCCCUCACAGUUCUGGAGGCCAGAAGUCCAAAGUUAAGGUGUUGGCUGGGCCACCAUUCCUCUGGAGAGGCAAAAUAUCUCUAGAGAAAAGUAUCUUGCUCUUUUCAGCUUUUGGUCACCAUUGUCAUUCAUUGACUCAUGGCCUCCUCACUCCAUUCUCUGCAUCUGUAUAGCCUUAUUUUCUGUCCUGUCUGCUCUGCUGUCUGUCUCAAAGCUCUCUGCCUUUCUCUGAGAAAGGCUGACUUUAAGGGAAUCUGUUUGACACUGGAUUUAGGGUUCACCUAGGUCAUCCAGAAUGCUUUCAUCUGAAGGUCUUAAGUUAAUUAUAUCUGUAAGAAACAUUUUUCUAAAGUAAUAUUCACAGGUUCUGGGGAUUAGGAUAUGGACUCUAUCUUUUCAGGGGACACCAUUCUACCCAUUACAUUCAUUAUAUGAUUUUAAUUUUGUGUCUUUCUUUUGAAUUGAGAAAAUAAACUGUCUGAAGAUGGGAAUUUUUAGCUAGAAGGUAGAGAAGAAAAUUUAAAAUAUUUCUAGUUGUUUCCAAGUGAUUAGUAAGGGCUUGUUAAAUUUUCAGAGGUCAGAUAUCUUUGACACAAACUGAGAAAGGGUAAAUGGUUGUAAAGUGAAAAGUAUGGUAUUUUCUCUAAAAGGUAGCCAUUGACAGUGCCUUGGUAAAAAGAAUUAAAGUAAUCCAUUCAAAAGUUCUACCAAAUUUUUAUACUAGCUUUUACAUUUGUAACACUAGAAGUGACUAAAUUAUUAUCUGAUUUUGUAUGAUUGGUAAUAUUAUAAGUUGACUUCAUUUCUUGUGUUAUUGCGCUAAAAGAUAUGUGUGUGAGAGAGAAAGAGAUGCAUUGUGUAAAUGGUUUU